rnacentral:rRNA from 1 species
GUUGAUCCUGCCGGAGGUUACUGCUAUCGAGGUUCGACUAAGCCAUGCGAGUCGAAUGUAGCAAUACAUGGCGUACUGCUCAGUAACACGUGGACAACCUACCCUUAGGGCGGGGAUAAACCCGGGAAACUGGGUAUAAUACCCGAUAGUCCUCGACUGCUGGAAUGCAUCGAGGACUAAAGCUCCGGCGCCUAAGGAUGGGUCUGCGGCCUAUCAGGUAGUAGUGGGUGUAGCGUACCUACUAGCCUACGACGGGUACGGGUUGUGAGAGCAAGAGCCCGGAGAUGGAUUCUGAGACACGAAUCCAGGCCCUACGGGGUGCAGCAGGCGCGAAGACUUUACAAUGCUGGAAACAGCGAUAAGGGGACCUCGAGUGCCAGGUUACAAAUCUGGCUGUCGUGAUGCCUAAAAAGCAUUGCAUAGCAAGGGCCGGGCAAGACCGGUGCCAGCCGCCGCGGUAACACCGGCGGCUCGAGUGGUAACCGUUAUUAUUGGGUCUAAAGGGUCUGUAGCCGGCCGGAUAAGUCUCUUGGGAAAUCUGGCAGCUUAACUGUCAGGCUUUCAGGAGAUACUGUCUGGCUCGAGGCCGGGAGAGGUGAGAGGUACUUCAGGGGUAGGAGUGAAAUCUUGUAAUCCUUGAAGGACCACCAGUGGCGAAGGCGUCUCACCAGAACGGACCUGACGGCAAGGGACGAAAGCUAGGGGCACGAACCGGAUUAGAUACCCGGGUAGUCCUAGCCGUAAACGAUACUCGCUAGGUGUCGGCCACGGUGCGACCGUUGUCGGUGCCGUAGGGAAGCCGUGAAGCGAGCCACCUGGGAAGUACGGCCGCAAGGCUGAAACUUAAAGGAAUUGGCGGGGGAGCACCACAACGG